CGACAGUCGGAGCGAUUAGACGUACAUAUUUCGUGUCACUCCGUGAUAGGUAUUCACCUUCCUAUUACGUAGGAUUUUCGUAGUGAUUCUUUGACCGCCCAAACCCAGGUUAUUGUUAAUUUCGUUCAACUAACAUUAUUGUUUGUUUACGAGGAAAACUUUGAACUAUUAGAGGGAUGCCACGAUAUCCAAAAGGACACCAUGACGAUUGACAAUGAAUUUGAAACCAUUUAAUGGAAGUUUGGUAACAUUUAAUUUAUUCUAAUAAAAACAAACGUAUUUGUACGUUUGUUUUCUUCUUUUCUGCAUAAUUGGUAAUAUUUAUUUAAUAUUCUACCGGGAUGCAUUUUCAAUAAGUAAUACGUAAUAUUAACAUAACGAAUACGUAAUGUAUCAAAAUUUUAAAUAAUUUCACGAUUUAUUAAAAAUACUAAGAUGAAAUUAGACAGAAUCAGAGAAAUCACGUCUUUUCAUUUCGAAUAUGUUAAAUUACUUGUGUAUUUCAAACAAGUUUGUACACGUUCUGCGCAUCGCGUUUUUUUCAUAUUGCGCAGCUUUGUUUAACGUAUAGAAAGGCCAAUAUGUAUAUCUAAAACUGUAAUGGCGGACAUUCAGUUCAGCAAGCAAUUUUUACAAAUGACGCAUAUUGUACAAUAGUCAUAGUAAAUAUUUGACAGUAAUAGGAAAUACUGUAUAAUGUAUAAUAAUAUUUAAAAAAUAUAUAUAUAUAUCUUAUAUUCUUAAUAACUAGUUCCUAGUUUUAAAAAAACAGUAUUUUCAUAAACAAACAGUCGAUAUAAAAAGAACAAAAAUAUGAAAAGCAGUAUUUUUUUUUCCUUACGCCUUAUCCUCUAAUAAAAUUUGUCUUUCAGAGAAUUAUUGUGAUCGCGCGCAAUGCGAUCGAUAGAGUCAGUGUUUGCUGCGUAAUAAUACUUUUUGUAUUUUAUAGAGCAUAAUAGCUUUUUAUAAUUAUAAAUUCAAUUACAAUAGUUGUACGCGAAAUUAGAGUCAGUGUGUUCGCCGAUUGUUACUUAAACGGACGCGUUAAUAGCCUUUUUUUUUGUUUCUUUUUUUAUGUCUUUUUUUUCUAAACAUUCGCUUUUGGUAGUAGAGUCGCAGGUUUCGCAAGAGGAUACGGCCUCUCCUGGAACUCAAGAAUGUUUUUCAUUCCUUCCUGUUCUCUGGAGAAUACAUAGUAGUAUUCAGUUCUCUGGUGCUUCAAAAGCCAAGAAU